rnacentral:misc_RNA from 1 species
GAUAGGAAUCAUUUGAUUCAGCCUCUUGCCUACUUCCCCAUCCAGUCCACAUUCAUCAGUAAAUUCUGGAGAAUAGGAAUACUCUUCCACAUUAUCAGGGCUGGAGCAUGAACUAGAAGCAACCAUAUCAUCUGCAUCUUCAUGACCAUACUCAUGGUCUGAAUUGUAGUUCCCUGUUGAUGUGCCAUGCCAAUCAUGCUUGUGAAUGAAUGUUUGCAAGUGCUCUUCUCUUGGUGGUGAAUAUCCAGAGUUUUCAGCAACAGCUAGCUGUGAAAAUUCUUCUUGCAGCGUGCGGGCAAUAAUCUCAUCACUGUCCACAUCUGUACUAUCUGAUAUGUCAUAAAGAUCUCUGGUAUAAGGUACACCACCGUAAUACCCAGAAUAAAAAGGUGGGUCCCCAUCAAGAAGACGAAGACCCCAUUGGAUUAC